GUGCUAAUAGAUUGUGUUAAUUCUAGGCAUUGUUCCCCGAACAUCGGGGAAUGGCUAUACGCCGCCAUGAAGAAAUACAGGCUACUGCUCUCAGACUUUGAAAGUCAUCACGUGUCAAGAGCGGCCAGGAGAACUGAACGCCUCUGGACAGGUUCUCUGCCUGGUCCCGGCUAGCAGCCUUCAGCUGUAGGAGGGUUGGCCGCAUCCUUACCGGAUUCGUGGUGAUAACCUGCAACUCACGGUGCGAAGGAGAGGGAGAACUGUCCCUCAGUGGGUCACCAGUGGCCCAGUCGCUGUGGCAUUGCUGUUGCUGGCAGGGCCACAGGAUCUGCGUGAAGCCUCACCUGCCUGUCGGGAGCUUUAUUUUGGUCUGGAAUAACCAGCGAUGCCUAAAAUAGGAAUCUUCAUGGCUAGAUGGGCUGACGUUCCGAGGGCCGGCAACUUGAAGAGGAGCGGAGCAGCUCAGCCCAUCUGGUUGAUUUCGGCGAUGCUGCUUUAAGGAAGCGUCCUGGGCCUGUGCGCGCACCCUCGCUCCGGCAGACGCAGACACCCUGGAGCCGUAGGGAAACAGGCCAGCAGRCCCACAAGUGGGCUUUGGGCACGGCGGUGCGCAGAGAGCUCUGCGUGCUCGGCAGGCGAGUGGGGUUGGAGCGUGGCGAGAGCUGUUCCGGGCUGUCUGGAUCCAUCCAGUUCUGCUCC
rnacentral:lncRNA from 1 species